UACGUAGGGACCAAGCGUCGUUCGGAUUUACUGGGCGUAAAGGGCGCGUAGGCGGCGCGGUAAGUCACUUGUGAAAUCUCUGAGCUUAACUCAGAACGGCCAAGUGAUACUGCAGUGCUAGAGUGUGGAAGGGGCAAUCGGAAUUCUUGGUGUAGCGGUGAAAUGCGUAGAUAUCAAGAGGAACACCUGAGGUGAAGACGGGUUGCUGGGCCAACACUGACGCUGAGGCGCGAAAGCCAGGGGAGCAAACGGG
rnacentral:rRNA from 1 species